CAAUCCAUUCCCCACCAGAAUCCGUCAAGCCGGAGGCGGAGGAGGAAGGAGAUCGAGCGGAGGCGACGCAGCCGGAGAUGAAGACUUUCGACCCGUGGCCGGUGUUCUUCCGCCGGGAGUGGCGCCGCAACUGGCCCUUCCUCACCGGCUUCGCCAUCACCGGUUUCCUCAUCACCAAGAUGACGGCCAACUUCACCGAGGAGGACCUCAAGAACUCCAAGUUCGUCCAGGAGCACAAGAAGCACUGAUGGGACCA
rnacentral:lncRNA from 1 species